AUUUUUUAGAAUUUAUUGAUAUUUAACUCGAAAUGUCAAGGAAUUUAUUUAUUAUCAAACCCAGAUUAAAAGUGAAUGCAUGCAUUCAGAGGACGCGAUGUUGACACUUCGCGCGAGGCGAUAGCCACGGGCAAGGCAUUGAUCAACUUAACGAGCCGAGCAGCGACAUCCGCAGCCGCAGCCGAGGCAACAGCAGCAGCAGCUAAUUGAGUAUUCUACUUUUAAGUGGCGCCUCUGCCAGUUGCAAGCGACUCGCCGACCCGUCCCGCCCCGCCCCAAACCGACCAUACCGUGCUGUUAACACACUUCAGCUGCGUUUGCUUGUGGCAGUUUGCAGCUUGUGCGGACAGUCCGAACUGCCGGAACUGUGCGGCCUGUGGUCAGCGCGUAUAAAUCAAUAAGUUGCCAUAAAUUAAUUAAAAUAAAAAGCAGCGCAUCUCAAGGUGCUGCCAGGGCAAGUCCUGUGUGUAUUACAAGUGCGUCUCCAUUUUGGCUUUGAGCCGCGCUCAGCCGAAGCAAUCAAUCAAAAUUGCAGCUGCCUUAGGGCGCCCGCUGGGUCGCUCGGUGAAUCUGAAACUGAAUCACGUAACGCCAUUCCAUGGCGCAUGAUAAAUUGUCAACACGCUGACGUUUGUCUGCAGCGAUUUAAAAACUACUUAAAAUGUAAAUGUUGUUUCGCAGUUGUUGUACCCUGCACCCAUUGAAAACGGGUCAAAUAAAACGGGUAUAUUGGUUUCGUGCGUUGCAUGUAACAGGCA